rnacentral:lncRNA from 1 species
GCACGCUGAUCAGUAGUCGGACGUGCUGGUAAUGUGGGGAUGUCAUUGUCGAGCACAUAGCCUAUUUUCUCGCAACUCAGAACAAUUUUGAGAUUUCUAAGCCAGUCUCUGUAAUUGGUACCGGUCAAUCGGUUGGUCUCAAGAAUACGAGUCAAAGAGUUUGAGGCUGACAUUAUGAUCUGCAGAGAGUAAAGAUUCUAGCUAGACUUUUAUACUUGAUCUUAAUCUGUUCUAGGGUCUUUUAGAACAAAUGUACCUCCCACUAUUUCCUCAAAUUCCUCACACUCUCCUGGUAGGAAAACGGAAAACUUACACGACUAGGGUUUCUAGUGGGUACUGCGGUCCCACCGAUUUACAUGCCACCUCACCUAAUAGUUAUUGGUGACACAUAAAUAGAUGAGUAUACAACUCUUGUACAAUGCUUCUCAAGCAUGUUGCAGUGCUACUUGGUCUCUAAGUCAUGAAGACCUCACCUAACAGUUAUUGGCCCCAUUCCUUAGUUAAAUCAGACCCACCGUAUAACCGUAGAAAUAAAGUUGCCAUUGGAUCCUCACCU